rnacentral:rRNA from 1 species
UGGGGAAUAUUGCACAAUGGGCGCAAGCCUGAUGCAGCCAUGCCGCGUGUAUGAAGAAGGCCUUCGGGUUGUAAAGUACUUUCAGCGAGGAGGAAGGCGUUGUGGUUAAUAACCGCAACGAUUGACGUUACUCGCAGAAGAAGCACCGGCUAACUCCGUGCCAGCAGCCGCGGUAAUACGGAGGGUGCAAGCGUUAAUAGGAAUUACUGGGCGUAAAGCGCACGCAGGCGGUCUGUCAAGUCGGAUGUGAAAUCCCCGGGCUCAACCUGGGAACUGCAUCCGAAACUGGCAGGCUAGAGUCUUGUAGAGGGGGGUAGAAUUCCAGGUGUAGCGGUGAAAUGCGUAGAGAUCUGGAGGAAUACCGGUGGCGAAGGCGGCCCCCUGGACAAAGACUGACGCUCAGGUGCGAAAGCGUGGGGAGCAAACA